ACAAGGUUUCCGUAGGUGAACCUGCGGAAGGAUCAUUACCGAGUGCUACGAGCGAGAGCUCGUUACCUCCCACCCUUUGUGAACAUACCUCUGUUGCUUUGGCGGCUCUCGCCGCGAGGGGAGGCCCUGAAAAGGGCCCGCCCCCCUCGCGCGCCCUCCGCCAGAGGACCUUCAAACUCCAGUCAGUAAACGUCGACGUCUGAUACACAAGUUAAUAAACUAAAACUUUCAACAACGGAUCUCUUGGUUCUGGCAUCGAUGAAGAACGCAGCGAAAUGCGAUAAGUAAUGUGAAUUGCAGAAUUCAGUGAAUCAUCGAAUCUUUGAACGCACAUUGCGCCCCUUGGCAUUCCGAGGGGCAUGCCUGUUCGAGCGUCAUUACAACCCUCAAGCUCUGCUUGGUAUUGGGCGCCGUCCUCUCUGCGGACGCGCCUCAAAGACCUCGGCGGUGGCUGUCCAGCCCUCAAGCGUAGUAGAAUACACCUCGCUUUGGAGCGGCUGGCGUCGCCCGCCGGACGAACCUUCUGAACUUUUCUCAAGGUUGACCUCGGAUCAGGUAGGGAUACCCGCUGAACUUAAGCAUAUCA
rnacentral:rRNA from 1 species